UACGUAGGGUGCGAGCGUUGUCCGGAAUUAUUGGGCGUAAAGAGCUUGUAGGCGGUCUGUCGCGUCUGCUGUGAAAAUCCGGGGCUCAACCCCGGACUUGCAGUGGGUACGGGCAGACUAGAGUGUGGUAGGGGAGACUGGAAUUCCUGGUGUAGCGGUGAAAUGCGCAGAUAUCAGGAAGAACACCCGUGGCUAAGGCGGCUCUCUAGUACGGUACUGACGCUGAGACGCGAAAGCGUGGGGAGCGAACAGG
rnacentral:rRNA from 1 species